rnacentral:misc_RNA from 1 species
AAGAGUGUAAAAACUCCCAAACCCCUGUGAACUUACCAGUCGUUGCUUCGGCGGGAUCGCCCCGGGCGCCAUCGCGUGCCCCGGAACCAGGCGCCCGCCGGAGGCUCUUCAAACUAUGUUUUUAUAAGUGGUAUUACUCUGAGUGGCCGAAAGGCAAAUAAAUGUCAA